GGCCAGAUUUGGUGUUUUGAGAGUUAUGACUUGUCCCGUGUCAUAAAAUCCAACUUCUUUGGGAAUUUUUGUCUCAAAUGUAUCUUCUUUGAUGAAUUCUAGACAUUUCCCAUCUACUUCUUGCUCUUGAUUCUUUGGAAAGGUUUCGAAGAUGCCUUUCUCACCCUCUUCUUCCUUGGAUUGCAUGAUCCUGCAAGGAAUAAAGACAUUUGGUGAAACGGGGUCAGGACAAAUUGAAUUUAGGCUUACCUUGGUUGUAGUGGACGGCAUAGAGGGCAUAUGGGGCUGCGGCAAGGGUGGUUCUUCCCUUGCCGUGGCCUUGUUAUUCUCCUAUUCUUCGAGCAGCAGUUGUUUAUCCAUGUUUUGGCUUGGUUUGGAUGUCUUGGGUUCACCUCCAACCUCCAUAGCACUUCCCAAAGUGAUAGCAUCAUGGAUUUCAAAAUCUUCCUUCAAAUUUUCAAUAGUUGAGUUGGAGAGUUCACUUUGCUCUUGAAUUUGUGCCAUGAACUCCAUAAUCUACCCAAUUUGUUUUUCCAAUUCACCCGUCUUCUUGGCUUGAUUUUGCAUCUCUUUGUUUCCAUUUUGUACUUCCUGGUUCAAAGAGGUGAGUAACUUAUUAAACAUAUCAUUAUCCAAAGACUUAC
rnacentral:lncRNA from 1 species